AAGAAUCUACAGGUCGAGCAAGUCUCGUAAAUUUCACGAUUGCGAGCCACGCUUCACGCAACCGUGUUUGCGUACUUGUGUUUCGAGUUGCGUGGUCGUGCGGAGUUAUAUUUACCAAAUUUAAAUCCGUUCCAACAUGCUGUCAAAAUUAAAUCAAUAUGUCAAUAUGGCUACUGGGUGUAAAAGAUAAAUCUUAAUCUAUCUGUUCUUAACUAGUUUUAGAUAAUUUUAGUUGUAUUUCUUUGUAAUUUUGUGUUGUACAAAGAUUAAUUUAACAUUUUCUCUGGAAGUAUUAAUUUAGAAAGAUAAUAUGCUUCAUUGGUGUUGUGUUUUGAAGUGUGAAAUGCAAAGUAAUUGUGAUAAAGUCAAGAUAAAGUUCACUUUUAAACUGAACUAAAUAAGGUAUCUGAGAGACAACAAUGGUUAAAUGCAAUACAAUGUACAGGUUUUACUAGCGAAAUGAAAAUUUUCCUGUCCUGUCUGCUGUAAUCAUUUUAUAUCUGGAAAACCAGCCGACUUAAUCGAUAAUAACAAUCUCCAGAUUGGGUUCCUUCAAUAAAUAUGGGCUAUAAACACAAUGAAAUAAGUUCCCCAAAAUCUAAAAUGGAGUGGUAUCAAAGGAGAAUUAAAGGAAAAAAUAUUCAUAUUGAAAUUAUUUAUAAGGCACUGGACUGUCUUAUAUUCUACAAUAAUACUAGAAUCAGCUGAGAGAAGUGGUCUACAAAAAACCACGAAGGAAACGGAAUAUGUGGCUACGAAAGGCAAAAGAAAGGUUUACAAAGCAAAUGUGACACAUUUUUUUGAAAUAAUUAGGAAUAUCAGUAAAUUGCAUUAAAAAAAUGUAUGAAAAGAUUUUGUUCAAUAAAAAUGUUUAUAUUUA